UACGGAAGGCAGCAGUGGGGAAUAUUGCACAAUGGGCGAAAGCCUGAUGCAGCUAUGCCGCGUGUAUGAAGAAGGCCUUAGGGUUGUAAAGUACUUUCAUCGGGGAGGAAAAAACAAAACUAAUAAUUUUAUUUCUUGACGUUACCCGAAAAAGAAGCACCGGCUAACUCCGUACCAGCAGCCGCGGUAAUACGGAGGGUGCUAGCGUUAAUCAGAAUUACUGGGCGUAAAGAGCACGUAGGUGGUUUUUUUAAGUCAGAUGUGAAAUCCCUGGGCUUAACCUAGGAACUGCAUUUUGAAACUGAAAUACUAGAGUAUCGUAGAGGGAGGUAGAAUUCUAGGUGUAGCGGUGAAAUGCGUAGAUAUCUGGAGGAAUACCUGUGGCGAAAGCGGCCUCCUAAACGAAUACUGACACUGAGGGUGCGAAAGCGUGGGGAGCAAACAGGGAUUAGAUACC
rnacentral:rRNA from 1 species